GAGUUUGAUCCUGGCUCAGAAUGAACGCUGGCGGCGUGCUUAACACAUGCAAGUCGGACGAGAAAGGCUGAUUUCGGUUGGCCGAGUAAAGUGGCGCACGGGUGAGUAACGCGUAGGCAACCUACCCUUGUAUUGGGGAUAACCCUGCGAAAGUGGGGCUAAUACCGGAUGAGACCCUAUUCUGGAGGGGAUAGGGUGAAAGUCGGCCGCUCGGAGAAGCUGACGUACGAGGAUGGGCCUGCGUCCUAUCAGCUGGUUGGUGGGGUAGCGGCCUACCGAGGCGACGACGGGUAGCUGGUCUGAGAGGAUGAUCAGCCACACUGGCACUGGAACACGGGCCAGACUCCUACGGGAGGCAGCAGUGAGGAAUUUUGCGCAAUGGCCGCAAGGCUGACGCAGCAACGCCGCGUGGGUGAUGAAGGCCUUCGGGUCGUAAAGCCCUGUCAGGUGGGAAGAAAGGCCUGGAGAGGACAGGUUUCGGGUUUGACGGUACCACCAGAGGAAGCACCGGCUAACUCCGUGCCAGCAGCCGCGGUAAUACGGAGGGUGCGAGCGUUAUUCGGAAUUACUGGGCGUAAAGCGCGUGUAGGCGGGGGGACAAGUCUGAUGUGAAAGCCCUGGGCUUAACCUGGGAAGCGCAUUGGAAACUGUUUUUCUUGAGUACUGGAGAGGAAGGGGGAAUUCCCGGUGUAGAGGUGAUAUUCGUAGAGAUCGGGAGGAAUACCAGUGGCGUACGCGCCCUUCUGGACGGUAACUGACGC
rnacentral:rRNA from 1 species